rnacentral:tRNA from 1 species
UAUUAUUAAGUGUUAGGUACACUUAGACCUUUGAAGUCUACUAUAUAAGUUCAAUUCUUAUAAUAAUAA